GGGCCCGCACAAGCGGUGGAGCAUGUGGUUUAAUUCGAUGAUACGCGAGGAACCUUACCAGGGCUUAAAUGUAAGUUGCAUAGAUCAGAGAUGGUCUUUUCUUCGGACUACUUACAAGGUGCUGCAUGGUUGUCGUCAGCUCGUGCCGUGAGGUGUCAGGUUAAGUCCUAUAACGAGCGCAACCCCUGUCGUUAGUUACCAGCAAGUAAUGUUGGGUACUCUAGCGAGACUGCCGGUGCAAACCGUGAGGAAGGUGGGGAUGACGUCAAAUCAUCACGGCCCUUACGUCCUGGCUGCACACGUGCUACAAUGGUCGGUACAAUGGGCUGCCACCUCGCGAGGACAAG
rnacentral:rRNA from 1 species